rnacentral:lncRNA from 1 species
GAUGAUGUUGUGCCAGAAUCUCCUCCAUUCGUAACUUCACCACUUCAUGCUCUUCCCCCACCAGAAAUCAUUACAUCAAAGGUCGACUAUCAGGUAGUUACUGAAAGCCGAAAGCAACUCACUAUUGAUAUGAUUCCGGGCUCAUCCAAACAUAAAGGCAUCCUACCAGAAUAUUACAAGAACGACUUCAGUAGUCCACAUUUUACUAAGGCCAAAAUUGAAUCAAGGCACCAAGACUUACCGCUUGUCGACACAGGGAACGUUGUGAGGACUUAUCAGGAUUCUUCUGCCAUCCCUCCUCCCUAUACGGAGUCCACCAGAGGUGUUGUGAUCACGACUCCUGUUCUACCAUCUUUGCUGUGCAAUG